ACGCUGUGAAGACCUGUGUCACUUGUGAAGUAUCCUACUGUGACGAGUGCCUGAAAGCCACUCACCCGAAUAAGAAGCCCUUUACAGGCCAUCGUCUGAUUGAGCCAAUUCCGGACUCUCACAUCCGGGGGCUGAUGUGCUUGGAGCAUGAGGAUGAGAACAAAACUUAGAGAGUAACCUCACCAACCUUAUUAAGAGGAACACAGAACUGGAGACCCUUUUGGCUAAACUCAUCCAAACCUGUCAACAUGUUGAACUGUAAAGGAUCAGAAAGUCAUUGGCAGAGAGAAGCAGCAGUAUUACCCUAGGAAUAGGAGAAAGUGGGUCAGCAACUCCCUACAGGCAAGACUGAUGGGGAGAAGAUGCAUUUCAA
rnacentral:lncRNA from 1 species